rnacentral:rRNA from 1 species
AACGAACGCUGGCGGUAUGCUUAACACAUGCAAGUCGAACGAGGUAGCAAUACCUAGUGGCAAACGGGUGAGUAAUACAGAGGAAUCUACCUAGCAGUAAGGAAUAACCCUGAGAAAUCAGGGCUAAUACCGUAUAUUACCCUUCGGGGGAAAGAUUUAUCGCUGUUAGAUGAGCCUCUGCCGGAUUAGCUAGUUGGUAGGGUAAUGGCCUACCAAGGCAAUGAUCCGUAGCUGGUCUGAGAGGAUGAUCAGCCACACUGGAACUGAGACACGGUCCAGACUCCUACGGGAGGCAGCAGUGGGGAAUAUUGGACAAUGGGCGCAAGCCUGAUCCAGCAAUACCGCGUGAGUGAUGAAGGUCUUCGGAUUGUAAAGCUCUUUUAGUAGAGAAGAUAAUGACGGUAUCUACAGAAAAAGCACCGGCAAACUUCGUGCCAGCCGCCGCCGUAA